rnacentral:lncRNA from 1 species
AGAUGUGUACCGGCAUCCUGAAAUUGGAAUUGGAAUGGUAAAGUAAUGUAUGGGAAAAGUAAGAAGGAGAUAAGUGUGAUUUUAUGUCCACAUUGCAUAAACAAUGAACUGAAGUUUUCUCACAUGUCUUUGUAAGUUUUAUAUCCUCUAUCUGGUUGUAUCAAUUGACACAUUAUAGUUUUGCGCAUAUAUUUUAUAUAAUUUUGCCAUUUAGUUCGUGCACUGUGAAAUUUAAGCAGUUAUUGAUGGAUGGUCUGUGAAGAAUUGUAUACAGUCUUGU